GUUUGCAUACAUUUUUUGUUUGGUUUGGCUUUGUUUCCCUGCAAGUUAGUCUUGAUUGUAAUUUGAUUCGUUAGAACUUGCAAAAUCCUGCCUUGUUACACCACAUUACGCUUUACAGUUCAUAUUGUGUUGUACACAGAGCUGCACAACUGUGAAGACUCAGCAACUCAACAGCCAAGAUGAGUAGAGUGGAGUUGCAAAACCUUUCCUUCAAGCAAGGAAUGGAACUGCGAGACACCGGUGUCCCUAAACCCAAUCCGUUUCGCAAUCGAUGUGGGUGAAUCUGAUUCCAACGUUGCGCUCCACGUCAA